rnacentral:misc_RNA from 1 species
CCUGUAUCAUCUUCGUGA